rnacentral:rRNA from 1 species
UGGGGAAUAUUGCACAAUGGGCGCAAGCCUGAUGCAGCCAUGCCGCGUGUAUGAAGAAGGCCUUCGGGUUGUAAAGUACUUUCAGCGAGGAGGAAGGCGUUGUGGUUAAUAACCGCAGCGAUUGACGUUACUCGCAGAAGAAGCACCGGCUAACUCCGUGCCAGCAGCCGCGGUCAUACGGAGGGUGCAAGCGUUAAUCGGAAUUACUGGGUGUAAAGCGCACGCAGGCGGUCUGUCAAGUCGGAUGUGAAAUCCCCGGGCUCAACCUGGGAACUGCAUCCGAAACUGGCAGGCUAGAGUCUUGUAGAGGGGGGUAGAAUUCCAGGUGUAGCGGUGAAAUGCGUAGAGAUCUGGAGGAAUACCGGUGGCGAAGGCGGCCCCCUGGACAAAGACUGACGCUCAGGUGCGAAAGCGUGGGGAGCAAACA